GCGAGCGUAGUCUAGUGGUUAUGAUGUCUGCUUUACAUGUCAUAUGAAAAGCGCAGAAGGUCGGGAGUUCGAUCCUCCCCGCUCGUA